rnacentral:rRNA from 1 species
AGAAUCAACGCUGGCGGCGUGCCUAACACAUGCAAGUCGAACGAGAAAGUGGAGCAAUCCAUGAGUAAAGUGGCGACCGGGUGAGUAACACGUGACUAACCUACCUUCGAGUGGGGGAUAACCUCGGGAAACCGGGGCUAAUACCGCAUAACAUCCUUAGAGUGGAAACUCCGGGGAUCAAAGGAGCAAUUCGCUUGAAGAGGGGGUCGCGGCUGAUUAGCUAGUUGGCGGGGUAAUGGCCCACCAAGGCUUUGAUCGGUAGCCGGCCUGAGAGGGCGCACGGCCACACUGGAACUGAAACACGGUCCAGACUCCUACGGGAGGCAGCAGUGGGGAAUUUUGCGCAAUGGGGGAAACCCUGACGCAGCAACGCCGCGUGGAGGAUGAAGUCCCUUGGGACGUAAACUCCUUUCGACCGGGAAGAUUAUGACGGUACCGGUGGAAGAAGCCCCGGCUAACUUCGUGCCAGCAGCCGC